rnacentral:rRNA from 1 species
GGGUUGUGAGGUUAAGCGACUAAGCGUACACGGUGGAUGCCCUGGCAGUCAGAGGCGAUGAAGGGCGUGCUAAUCUGCGAUAAGCGCCGGUAAGGUGAUAUGAACCGUUAUAACCGGCGAUACCCGAAUGGGGAAACCCAGUGUGAUUCGUCACACUAUCAUUAACUGAAUCCAUAGGUUAAUGAGGCGAACCGGGGGAACUGAAACAUCUAAGUACCCCGAGGAAAAGAAAUCAACCGAGAUUCCCCCAGUAGCGGCGAGCGAACGGGGAGGAGCCCAGAGCCUGAAUCAGCAUGUGUGUUAGUGGAAGCGUCUGGAAAGUCGCGCGAUACAGGGUGACAGCCCCGUACACAAAAGCGCAUGUGUUGUGAGCUCGAUGAGUAGGGCGGGACACGUGGUAUCCUGUCUGAAUAUGGGGGGACCAUCCUCCAAGGCUAAAUACUCCUGACUGACCGAUAGUGAACCAGUACCGUGAGGGAAAGGCGAAAAGAACCCCGGCGAGGGGAGUGAAAAAGAACCUGAAACCGUGUACGUACAAGCAGUGGGAGCCCCACCACCAAAGCAUUCUCUGGUGUUGAAGGCCCUGCAAAGCAGCAUCGCGGUGGCGGAGCGUCGUUUGCGACGCCCAACACACAAAACAAGCGGUGAGUGCUUUGGGGUGGGGUGACUGCGUACCUUUUGUAUAAUGGGUCAGCGACUUAUAUUCUGUAGCAAGGUUAACCGUAUAGGGGAGCCGGAGGGAAACCGAGUCUUAAUUGGGCGUUAAGUUGCAGGGUAUAGACCCGAAACCCGGUGAUCUAGCCAUGGGCAGGUUGAAGGUUGGGUAACACUAACUGGAGGACCGAACCGACUAAUGUUGAAAAAUUAGCGGAUGACCUGUGGCUGGGGGUGAAAGGCCAAUCAAACCGGGAGAUAGCUGGUUCUCCCCGAAAGCUAUUUAGGUAGCGCCUCGUGAAUUCAUCUCCGGGGGUAGAGCACUGUUUCGGCUAGGGGGCCAUCCCGGCUUACCAACCCGAUGCAAACUGCGAAUACCGGAGAAUGUUAUCACGGGAGACACACGGCGGGUGCUAACGUCCGUCGUGAAGAGGGAAACAACCCAGACCGCCAGCUAAGGUCCCAAAGUCAUGGUUAAGUGGGAAACGAUGUGGGAAGGCCCAGACAGCCAGGAUGUUGGCUUAGAAGCAGCCAUCAUUUAAAGAAAGCGUAAUAGCUCACUGGUCGAGUCGGCCUGCGCGGAAGAUGUAACGGGGCUAAACCAUGCACCGAAGCUGCGGCAGCGACACUGUGUGUUGUUGGGUAGGGGAGCGUUCUGUAAGCCUGUGAAGGUGUGUCGUGAGGCAUGCUGGAGGUAUCAGAAGUGCGAAUGCUGACAUAAGUAACGAUAAAGCGGGUGAAAAGCCCGCUCGCCGGAAGACCAAGGGUUCCUGUCCAACGUUAAUCGGGGCAGGGUGAGUCGACCCCUAAGGCGAGGCCGAAAGGCGUAGUCGAUGGGAAACGGGUUAAUAUUCCCGUACUUGGUGUUACUGCGAAGGGGGGACGGAGAAGGCUAUGUUGGCCGGGCGACGGUUGUCCCGGUUUAAGCGUGUAGGUGUGUGUUCCAGGUAAAUCCGGUUCACUUUAACACUGAGGCGUGACGACGAGGCACUACGGUGCUGAAGCAACAAAUGCCCUGCUUCCAGGAAAAGCCUCUAAGCAUCAGGUAACAUCAAAUCGUACCCCAAACCGACACAGGUGGUCAGGUAGAGAAUACCAAGGCGCUUGAGAGAACUCGGGUGAAGGAACUAGGCAAAAUGGUGCCGUAACUUCGGGAGAAGGCACGCUGACACGUAGGUGAAGUGAUUUACUCAUGGAGCUGAAGUCAGUCGAAGAUACCAGCUGGCUGCAACUGUUUAUUAAAAACACAGCACUGUGCAAACACGAAAGUGGACGUAUACGGUGUGACGCCUGCCCGGUGCCGGAAGGUUAAUUGAUGGGGUCAGCGCAAGCGAAGCUCCUGAUCGAAGCCCCGGUAAACGGCGGCCGUAACUAUAACGGUCCUAAGGUAGCGAAAUUCCUUGUCGGGUAAGUUCCGACCUGCACGAAUGGCGUAAUGAUGGCCAGGCUGUCUCCACCCGAGACUCAGUGAAAUUGAACUCGCUGUGAAGAUGCAGUGUACCCGCGGCAAGACGGAAAGACCCCGUGAACCUUUACUAUAGCUUGACACUGAACAUUGAGCCUUGAUGUGUAGGAUAGGUGGGAGGCUUUGAAGUGUGGACGCCAGUCUGCAUGGAGCCGACCUUGAAAUACCACCCUUUAAUGUUUGAUGUUCUAACGUGGACCCGUUACCCGGGUUGCGGACAGUGUCUGGUGGGUAGUUUGACUGGGGCGGUCUCCUCCUAAAGAGUAACGGAGGAGCACGAAGGUUGGCUAAUCCUGGUCGGACAUCAGGAGGUUAGUGCAAUGGCAUAAGCCAGCUUGACUGCGAGCGUGACGGCGCGAGCAGGUGCGAAAGCAGGUCAUAGUGAUCCGGUGGUUCUGAAUGGAAGGGCCAUCGCUCAACGGAUAAAAGGUACUCCGGGGAUAACAGGCUGAUACCGCCCAAGAGUUCAUAUCGACGGCGGUGUUUGGCACCUCGAUGUCGGCUCAUCACAUCCUGGGGCUGAAGUAGGUCCCAAGGGUAUGGCUGUUCGCCAUUUAAAGUGGUACGCGAGCUGGGUUUAGAACGUCGUGAGACAGUUCGGUCCCUAUCUGCCGUGGGCGCUGGAGAACUGAGGGGGGCUGCUCCUAGUACGAGAGGACCGGAGUGGACGCAUCACUGGUGUUCGGGUUGUCAUGCCAAUGGCACUGCCCGGUAGCUAAAUGCGGAAGAGAUAAGUGCUGAAAGCAUCUAAGCACGAAACUUGCCCCGAGAUGAGUUCUCCCUGAGACUUUAGGUCUCCUGAAGGAACGUUGAAGACGACGACGUUGAUAGGCCGGGUGUGUAAGCGCAGCGAUGCGUUGAGCUAACCGGUACUAAUGAACCGUGAGGCUUAACCUUACAACGCCGAAG